GAAAAAAAAAAAAAAAAAGGUGUGUGCAAGAAGUAAGAACAGUUUCUUGUAUAUCAGGAUUAGGUAUAUUAUUUAAGAUUUAUUUUAUUCUGUUCCUAUUCCUACUCUGCAGCUGGAAGUAGCAAGUUAGUGCUUGCUUGCUAGUUAAAGGUUUAGGGUAAAGACUUGGGAAAGAAAGUGAGUCAAAUCUCAAUUCAACUGUGAACAGAAAUGGUGAGAAAACAUGGCUGGCAAUUACCUGCUCACACUUUUCAGGUUGUUGCGAUCACUGUAUUUUGUUUGUUGGUGAUUGCUUUCUAUGCUUUUCUUGCUCCCUUCAUUGGAGGUCGUAUAUGGGAAUACAUUUUCAUUGGUGUUUACUCUCCCGUGGCACUCAUUGUGUUCAUUCUUUACGUCAGAUGCACCGCAAUCAACCCUGCAGAUCCGGGCAUUAUGUCUAAGUUUGACCCCAGAGUGGGAAAUAAGUUCAAUUCUGCGCAAGAAUUGUCAGGAAAACAUCACAUUUCUGAACAUGAACGCAUUGCUGCUAGAGAGCAAUAUUCUCCAUCAUCUUCCAAAAGGUCUAUGACAAAUAUGAGCAAGAAAAGCUCAGUGGAAGAUAUGGACAGAGCAGACAGUACUAGGAAACAGAAUAACCAAAGCUCAUGUAAUGUAGUUGGAGGAAUUUUCUGCAUACUAUUUUCACAUGAAGAUUGCCGGAAACAGGAAGCAUCGACUGAAGAGCAGGGUGGUGCUGAAGAUGCUCUGUUCUGCACAUUGUGCAAUGCUGAGGUGCGCAAAUUCAGCAAACAUUGUAGAAGUUGUGAUAAAUGUGUUGAUGGCUUCGAUCACCAUUGUCGGUGGCUUAACAAUUGUGUGGGUCACAAAAAUUACAGUUCUUUUAUUGCUCUCAUGGCUUUUAGUCUUGCUUGGCUAGUCAUUGAAGCUGGAGUGGGUGUUGCAGUUUUUGUGCGUUUCUUUGUCAAUAAGAGAGGAAUGGAAUCUGAAAUCAUUGAUAGACUUGGAAAUGGAUUCUCUCGGCCCCCAUUUGCCGCCGUUGUGGUUGUAUGUACUGUAGUUUCUAUCUUGGCUUGUGUGCCUUUGGGUGAGCUUUUCUUUUUCCACAUGAUACUAAUCAGGAAGGGCAUUACUACUUAUGAAUAUGUUGUAGCAAUGAGAGCCAUGAGUGAAGCACCUGCAGGGGCAUCUGUGGAUGAGGAAUUGCCAAAUAUACUUUACUCUCCAACAGGCUCAGCCACGACUGGAUUGAGUGGAGGAAGUUCUCUUGGUUUGCAAUAUAAAGGGGCUUGGUGCACCCCUCCCAGGGUAUUCGUGGAUUAUCAGGAUGAAGUUGUGCCUCACUUGGAGCCUGGAAUGCUACCGUCAACUGUUGAUCCAGAUGCAGCGGGUAUUGCAGAAAGAGGGCAAAGGAUGCCAAAAAGACCUGUUCGUAUUAGUGCUUGGAAGCUUGCUAAGUUGGAUUCACAAGAGGCUGUGCGAGCAGCUGCGAAAGCCAGGGCAUCUUCUUCAGUUUUGCGACCUGUAGACAGCCACCGCGUACCAGAUGCAGAAUUGAGCUCUAGUGGCAACAUGAGCAUCAGAAGUAGUUUAAGCACCGAGACUGGAACUAACAAGGAAAUUAAACACGAGUUAAGAUUGUCUCCGGUCCAAAAUUCUAUUGCUCCUAGUCAAGGAAGUCGCGAUGAGUACGAGACUGGAACUCAAAGUAUGAGUAGUUUCAGCAGUCCUAGCCAUGUUCAUGAGGCAGUUACACUCAGCCCUCUUCCACAGGGUCACAGUUUGGGUGGCUUCAGGCCAGGUGCCUCAAUCCCUAGUUUGGUGGUGCCUGAGCGUCCUUUAACUUCUAAAGCAACAUUGUCAAACUUCAGGAACCCAAUAUCAAAUCCAUCUCUUGGAUUUGAUGGGAGGACAGCCAUGCCAAAAGGAAUUGGCCAUGAUCCAUUGUUGCUUUCUGCUUCUAACACUUCUAUUCUAAGAGAUGUGAAACGGUCAUCAGUUGUUUGGGAUCAAGAAGCUGGCAGAUAUGUUUCAGUCCCUUUAUUGCCUUCAGAAGCCCGAAAUAGGUCAUCCAUGCGCGUAGAAUUGCAAAAUGUAAAUGCGGAAACAAGCAGUUUUGGGAAAAAACCAGUGAUUCCUCAGAAGGAGUUGUCAUCAUCUGCACCCAAGUCUCCAGGGCAGCACACACAGAAUCUGAUGUAUACCGGAGAUUCUAUUUUUUAUGGAGGUCCAUUUUUGAGUGCCCCUGUUAAAGAUGGUUUGAAAAAUGAAAGACGUUUGCCAUCAGGGGAGGCGCAAGAUAGCAUAUCAGCGAACUUGCCCCUAGAGCCAAGAUAUAAAAGGGACUCACUUUCAAAUCAGCUUCCUGUGUUUGUCCCUGGUGGGUUUGAGAAUAACCUUCAACCUCGUUCUGGCAUGAAUUAGUUUGAGUUGUUUUGAGAUUCCAAUGAUCUGGACAAUGUUUUUGUUGGAAUCGAAAGUACAGUGAAGAGAAACCAAAGGGUCUAUCUGGUAGGCGCGAUUUUAGCCUUUCAGACCAUACAAACGAAAAUUAUGGUGGACACCUUCUGACUCCAGCAGCUGGUUUUUUAUUCGGCCUCAUCAUUUAGGUUUAAAGUCGGUCAUCUUGCAGCCUGUACGUUUGAGAUACAUCAAAAUGCUUAUGGGCAUUUGAGAGAUUGAAAUGAACUUCAUUGUUCCUUUUUGCUGAACAUGCGUUGAGAAAUGUGAAUCUUCCGUGAUGCGGUUGAUGAAAUCUCAAAACACUUAUCAGCAUCAGUUCAGUAAGUGUUUUGUCGUUGCCAAAUUUUGCAAUUCUUGUUGGAGCAGCAUCGCGACACUGUCGUUAUUGUGCCUGUUUGGGACCUGGAGGUGCUUUCAACGCCUAUAUGCCAAACUCUUUUGUUGCUUUUUCAUUUAUAUUCGCGCCAUCAUUGUUUAAACGCUCAAGCAAAAAGAUUGAUUUGCAGAUAA